rnacentral:tRNA from 1 species
GGAGAAGUACCCAAGAGGCUGAAGGGGACGGUUUGCUAAAUCGUUAGUGGGGGUAACUCCAGCAAGGGUUCGAAUCCCUUCUUCUCCG